UAGGGAAUCUUCCACAAUGGGCGAAAGCCUGAUGGAGCAACGCCGCGUGUGUGAUGAAGGCUUUCGGGUCGUAAAGCACUGUUGUAUGGGAAGAACAGCUAGAAUAGGAAAUGAUUUUAGUUUGACGGUACCAUACCAGAAAGGGACGGCUAAAUACGUGC
rnacentral:rRNA from 1 species